AAAUUGAAGAGUUUGAUCAUGGCUCAGAUUGAACGCUGGCGGCAGGCCUAACACAUGCAAGUCGAACGGUAACAGGAAACAGCUUGCUGUUUCGCUGACGAGUGGCGGACGGGUGAGUAAUGUCUGGGAAACUGCCUGAUGGAGGGGGAUAACUACUGGAAACGGUAGCUAAUACCGCAUAACGUCGCAAGACCAAAGAGGGGGACCUUCGGGCCUCUUGCCAUCGGAUGUGCCCAGAUGGGAUUAGCUAGUAGGUGGGGUAACGGCUCACCUAGGCGACGAUCCCUAGCUGGUCUGAGAGGAUGACCAGCCACACUGGAACUGAGACACGGUCCAGACUCCUACGGGAGGCAGCAGUGGGGAAUAUUGCACAAUGG
rnacentral:rRNA from 1 species